AUUGAACGCUGGCGGCAUGCCUUACACAUGCAAGUCGAACGGCAGCAUGGAGGAGCUUGCUCCUCUGAUGGCGAGUGGCGAACGGGUGAGUAAAGCAUCGGAACGUACCGUGUAGUGGGGGAUAACGUAGCGAAAGUUACGCUAAUACCGCAUACGCACUGAGGUGGAAAGCAGGGGAUCGCAAGACCUUGCGCUAUACGAGCGGCCGAUGUCAGAUUAGCUAGUUGGUGGGGUAAAGGCUCACCAAGCCGACGAUCUGUAGCUGGUCUGAGAGGACGACCAGCCACACUGGGACUGAGACACGGCCCAGACUCCUACGGGAGGCAGCAGUGGGGAAUUUUGGACAAUGGGCGCAAGCCUGAUCCAGCCAUGCCGCGUGCGGGAAGAAGGCC
rnacentral:rRNA from 1 species